rnacentral:lncRNA from 1 species
UAAGCAUGAAGGUUUUUUAGGGUGUUACAUGUUCCUUUUGCUGUGUUGGGCUAUCUCUGCAUCCUCGAUGGUGGGUUUUUGUGAGUGGGGUGGUUAUGAUUCAGGCUAUUCGGUGGUGUGGCUUUGUCCAGCUUGGAGGGCAUCUGGCGCUCUUGAUGGGAAUUAGGAAUGUCAAUAAUGGGACUAACUUGUGCAUGGUCGCUCGUUGUGGAGCUGUUCAUAGCAUGAGGUGGUUUCGGCUGCGCAGGCUGAACUGGCAAAGCCACUGCACUUUGUGCUAUUCUUUUUGCUACUUUUCGUGCAGCUCAUUCGACAUCCUUUAUGACUUGGCAGGGAGUGAAGUAGGGUCGGGAGUCACAAGUCUUGCGAGUAGAUCUCUUUUGCCUCAUGGUUCUAGUGUUGGCGAUUGCUGGUUGUUAGGAAUCAGGAUGUGGGGUUGAAGGUCAAGGAGGAUGUAGAGAGGUUAGGAUAAGGUUUGGUGGUUUUUGAAAUUUAAAAAGGGCUCCAGGUGUCGUGCACCUAGGCCAAGCGUAAAUGGAAGGGUUGGAUGUUUUUUUUUUUGCUUAGGCAAGGCUUAAGUGAUUGAGAACAGACAAUAGGUGUGGCUUACCCUAGGGCAAGACUUGGGUAGGACAUUUUUUAGAAAAUAAGCUUUGGGGAAGGUUAAUGUAAGUUGACUGGCUUUUGUCCCUGCCCCCCCCCCCCACUAGUCCAACACGUAAGCUUUGGGCAAGGCUUAUGCAAGAUUUUGACUGAGGUCUUAAAUAUCCAUUAUCCUAAGGUAAGGUUAACAUGGUCCGCUUGGGUCAAAGAACCUAAGUGACCGAAAUACAAGCCUUGGGCAAGGCUUAAUUUGUGACUGCCAAACUACUGCUCAAGCAUGGCUGUUUGAUUAACCCCUCAGCAAGGGUCAACAUAUUCGCGCUAGCCUUGGGCAAGGGUAAUUCUCUUCCUCGCAAUAUCAGUAGGGGUUCACAUGAUCAUUUUUCAAGAGCUUAGUAACCUCAAGUAGGUCUUUGAAUGGCUUGCAGCAAGGGAGAAAAACAUAAGUUAAAAUGUCAUUAACAAUCGACAAAAAUGAACAAUAAAAGAAAGAAGAAGAAAGCAAAUAGAAGGAAUGAAGAAACUAAAUGGGUUACCUCCCAUUAAGUGCCCUUGUUUAUCGUCUUAGGCUGGACAUAGCCUAUGAGUUGUCAGUCAUUAUCUACAAAAUUCCCAAUGAUUUGUUCUUC